GCGCAGGUGGCGGAAUGGCAGACGCGCACGGCUCAGGACCGUGUGGCCGCAAGGCCUUGGGGGUUCAAGUCCCCCCCUGCGCA
rnacentral:tRNA from 1 species